AGCUUCCUGAGCCGGUAAGUACAAAUAUCUAUGAAAUAUUUUUUUAAAAGAAAGAUUAAACUCAGUUGAACUUUGUUUCAUGUCGUCAAUUUGGAUAACGAUAAGCUACAGUGGAAACAGAUGGUGAUACUAAAAUGUUGCCACAUGCUACGAAACAUCUUGGUGCCAAAAAAUCCUGAUCUACUAAUUCGAAAUCAAUGAAUUAAGUUCUUAUGUUUGAGAUCAAUAUCCAACCAAUCAAACUUUAGUAAUAUGCAGACUAAGCAACAGAUUGAAUCGUAAUGAUAUGAUUCCAAAUCAACUACACACAAUGAUUUACCGGUUAACUAGAAUUUUCUAGUAAUGUUGAUUUUUUUGGAGAAAAAAAAACGAUUAUCUAACCACACGAAUAUUGAACGAGUAACGAAAUAAAUGGACCAUCAAUCAUACUCACUGGUAACUAAUCUCAACGAAGAGAGAUAGCAGCGCAUUGACGAUUCGCUCGGUAAAUGUCAUUUUGUUAGAGGACCCCAGAAAUAGAUUGGGGCUAUAGGCAGGAUUGUAAGGAUUGCCUACCAACUCAUCUGUCCAUUUAUUGGAUGCAGUUGUGCACACAACCACAGAAGGCACUUUGUAGUGAUUUGCAAAACCAAGAAGGGCGUCCAUCAUGAAGGAAUCCACAAUAAGAAGGUCAUAUGAAGCAUCAGAUCGCAACAGCUUCUGUACUUCCUUAUGGCUGAGAGUGAAGUUUACAAGUUCAGCAGACCCAAAGAUUGAUUGUGUGAUAGUUUCGAGGACUGAAUGGGGCUGAUGUAACUCCUUCAGAUAUUCCUCAUUCCGUGCGAACGCCACUGUACCAUCAAUGAAGAUCUCCUGGACUGCUUCUGAGCCUUCUCGCAUAUGAUAAGGAGUUACAUAAGUGAUCUGGAGAAUGAAGCAUCAUCAAAUAUGGGAAAAGUAAUUAAGGAGACUUUUGAUCAAAGAAAGAAUUACCUGAUGCCCAUGACUUAUCAAUUCCCUGACAAGUGUCUCACCGAUGAUUGAGUUUGUUUUACUCGGUACUGGAAAGAUGGCAAGGAUUCUUUCGCAAAAGCCAUAGUUAAGGGUGUGAAUGAGGUAGAGAAGAAGUAUAAAAAUCGUCUUGGAGAACAUAUUUGCGUGGGCAGUGUCCCAAAACUGAUUGACGUGGAGCAAAGAGAAUAACGCGUUCUUAUCGUUGAUUUUGAUAAGAAGCACUUCCACACGAAGCACUAUGAUAUGGUACGCCAAUUUUUGCGUGCAUCAUCUGUGUAUGCACCUUCUAUCAUCAUUAUUUUUUGCAAACAAUAUACACUCUUCCCUCCCCCUAAAUAUAAACAAAUCGGCGCCGUGGCAGCUAAACUACAAUAUAUGGUGAAUGUAAGUAAAGGAACUAAAAUGUCAAAGAGAGAGCGCCUCUGAUGGCUUACAGUUGAAAUUCAAGGCUCUGCGCGGCGUGUGAAAUAAGAUGAGGGUAUGGAGAAGACAACAUUACGAGGAAAUAUUGCAUGAAAUUUUACCUACUUAACCAACUGAUGGAAUAAAAUGGAAUUCAGUGAUUAUUCAAUAAAUGCUAUAAAUUAAU